rnacentral:rRNA from 1 species
UACAGAGGUCUCAAGCGUUGUUCGGAUUCAUUGGGCGUAAAGGGUGUGUAGGUGGCGCGCUAAGUCGGGUGUGAAAUUUCGGAGCUUAACUCCGAAACUGCAUUCGAUACUGCCGUGCUUGAGGACUGGAGAGGAGACUGGAAUUUACGGUGUAGCGGUGAAAUGCGUAGAUAUCGUAAGGAAGACCAGUGGCGAAGGCGGGUCUCUGGACAGUUCCUGACGCUGAGGCACGAAGGCCCAGGGGGAGCAAAACGGG